AAUAAAAGAAAAAAGAGAAAACGUUCUCAUUCCAUGACGCAUGUAUGUAUGUACGUACACCACAGAUUGGAAAAAAGAACACAAACUGGUCUGUUUUUAUUUCUUUAGAGAUAGAUAUGUAUACGGACACUCACGUAGCACGUGUUCAACACACCGGUAGAUCGAUACUAUAUUGAAAUAUUCACUGUGAGUUAUGUGAUGCACCAGUUGGUCUCGCUCUAGGUAGAUCGUCAAGGUUUCUUCCUGGGCUCCCGUAGAAGGUCACUUUGUUAUCCAAUCCAACGAGGGAGAAAACAAAGAGAGAAAGAGAGAGAGAGAGAGAGAGAGAGAGAGAGAGAGAAAGAGAAAAGAAAAAAGAAAAAAGAAAAAAGAAAAAGAAACGGGUGAUAAAUCCUCGUCACUUUUCUUCGAUCUUUACGAUCGAAGAGAAACGGAUUACGGCCCUGAAGUUUUCCUUAGCCAUCUCUUAUGCGAACGAAUACUUGCGACUAGUAGGACGCGAAUAGGAAGAAAUAGAAAAUUCUUGAACUUGAUGGAUGAUUAAGUGAAAAUAAAAGAGGACGCGGGUGGUAAGGAGGUAAGGAGGGACCGAGCGAUUCUCUAGGAUCACGCUAUUCCGCACGAGUGGCACCCCCUCACUGCCAGAACAAUUGUCCUUGAAACAUUCUUCGGCAUUUUUUAUCUUACUCGAUGACGCAGUAAAGAAGAAGAAGAAGAAGAAGAAGAAGAAGAAAAAAAAGAAAAAAUAAAUAAAUAAAUUAAACGAACGAUUUAUCUUAUAUCUUUUUCUAUGCUCGAGAUCAAGAUCGGAGGCCCGUCUGUCUCUGUCCUCUAGUGGCUUGCCAAAAGUCACUCCUGACGCACGAAUUUUGGCACUCACUUGUGAACGGAGGAACAUUUUUACUUGAAGUUUACGCUUCGCAAGACAUUGACGACGGAAAGGUAGACAGAAAGAAAGAAAGAGAGAGAGAGACAGAAAGAGAGAGAGAGAGAGAGAGAGAGAGAGAGAGAAGGGGGAUGGGGAUGAGAAUGAGGAUGAGGGUGAGGGUGAGGGAAAGGAAAAUGGAGGGAGAUACGCGGACAAAACAAUCGGCCAUUCUUUUCUCUCGUCAGGAUGGUACUAUUACUUGGAAGAAUUUAUGGCUUUGAUACUAAGAUUUGGCAAACUCUUCGAAUUCAAACGAGAAACACACAUCGAGCAGUUUACAUCUUGGAUAUUGAAUUGAAUGUCCCUUUUGGAUUUAUUUACGAUCGCGUUGCGUCUCUCUCUCUUUCUCUCUUUUUCUAUCUAUCUUUAGUUUUCCAUCUUUUUUUUCAUUUUCUUUUUAUUUUUAUUUUUUUUUUUUUUUUAUUUCCUAUAUCAUCGAAGUUACGUGAAAUAUGAGACUAUCGCAUUGCUUUUACGUACACACAUACAUAAA